UCUUUUUAUCCCCACAAAUAGACAGUUUCGAGGUAGUGACGAGAAAUAACAAUACAGGGCAUUUUAUGCUCUGUAAUUGGAAUGAUGGGAAUGUAAAACCCUUCCAGAGUAACAAUUGGAGGGCAAGUCUGGUGCCAGCAGCCGCGGUAAUUCCAGCUCCAAUAGUGUAUAUUAGAGUUGUUGCAGUUAAAAAGCUCGUAGUUGGAUUUCUGCUGUGGUCAUCCGGUACCGCCCGUACGGGUGCGCACCUGGUUUGGCUGCGGCUUUCUUCCUGUAGCCGUCCGCGCUUAAUUGCGUGUAAUGUGUUGCGGAACUUUUACUUUGAGAAAAAUAGAGUGUUUCAAGCAGGCUUGUCGCCCUGAAUACUUCAGCAUGGAAUAAUAGGAUAGGACCUUGGUUCUAUUUUGUUGGUUUUUAGGACCAAGGUAAUGAUUAAUAGGGACAGUUGGGGGCAUUCGUAUUUAACUGUCAGAGGUGAAAUUCUUAGAUUUGUUAAAGACGAACUACUGCGAAAGCAUUUGCCAAGGAUGUUUUCAUUAAUCAAGAACGACAGUAGGGGGUUUGAAGACGAUUAGAUACCGUCGUAAUCUCUACCAUAAACUAUGCCGACUAGAGAUAGGGAAAUGCCUACCUUGGGGUUUCCACCGGGAUGAA
rnacentral:rRNA from 1 species